GCCUCGGUGGUGUAAUGGUAGGCACGGCAGACCGGAUAUCUGUAAGUGCGGGUUCGAGUCCCGUCUGAGGUU
rfam:Dictyocaulus viviparus strain HannoverDv2000 D_viviparus-1.0_Cont135.28, whole genome shotgun sequence.